CCUACGGGAGGCAGCAGUGAGGAAUAUUGGUCAAUGGGCGGAAGCCUGAACCAGCCAAGUCGCGUGCAGGAUGAAGGCCCUACGGGUCGUAAACCGCUUUUGCACGGGGAUAACACCCUCCACUUGUGGAUGUCUGCAGGUACCGUGCGAAUAAGGGCCGGCUAAUUCCGUGCCAGCAGCCGCGGUAAUACGGAGGGCCCGAGCGUUAUCCGGAUUCAUUGGGCUUAAAGGGAGCGUAGGCGGGCGUUCAAGUCAGCGGUAAAAUCGGGCGGCUCAACCGAGCCCCGCAGUUGAAACUGGAAGACUUGAGUUUACAUCAGGCAGGCGGAAUUCGUGGUGUAGCGGUGAAAUGCAUAGAUAUCACGAGGAACCCCGAUUGCGAAGGCAGCCUGCCGGGGUGCGACUGACGCUGAGGCUCGAAGGUGUGGGUAUCAAACAGGAUUAGAUACCCUAGUAGUC
rnacentral:rRNA from 1 species